CUUGGAAGGCUGAAAUGGGAGGACUGCUUGAGCCAGGAGUUCAGGGCUGCAGUGAGCUACACCUUAAGGCAGGGUAGGCAGUCAAGGAAGCGAACAUGUCCUUGAGAUGUGCCAAUCAGGGCACUGAGACACGUGAUGUGUGAACCACCAUGUACAGCUACUGCACAUAUGCACCCAAAGGACAGCCCAAAACAUGCUUAUACCUCUUUCCAUGCAGAGGCUGCCAUGAGGCAGGAGCUGGCCCUGGAGUGGCCGUAUUGACCUCAACUUGGGCCCGGAGAGGCCGACUGGAGGAAAUGCUGGGCCUGGAGAGGAUGCAAAGCAGGAAACGCUAGGCCUGGAAAGGCUGCCAUCGAGGCAUGAGCUUGGCCUACGGAGGCCACUAGGAGGCAGGAGCUGGGCCUGCAGAGGCCACCAAAAGGCAGGAGCUUGGCCUGAGGGGGAAACAGCGAGGCAAGAGGCAGGACUGGUGAGGGCCCACUGUGAGCUAGAGGCUGGGCUUGGAAAGGCCACCCACAGGUAGGGGCUGGGCCUGGAGAGGCCAUGAGAGGCAUGAGCUGGGCCCCAAUGGGCCAGCGUGAGGGUGAACCUCGGCCCAGUGAGGCCAGUGUGAGGCAGGAGCUCACACCUCUGGGUGGGCUGCGAGAGCAUUAGUUGGGCCAAAACAGGCCAUGGUGCUGGAGGAGCUGAGCCUGUCGAGGCUGCCGGAGGGCAGGCAGGCAGGAACCGAGGUGUCUGCUGGGUGCACAAGGGGCCUUCCUACCAGAGGGCAGGCCAGAUAAGGGUCAGGCUGUCAGGGUGCUCACUCCUGGUGCUUUGGCUCUUGUAGGUGCAGCUCAGUGCACAGACGUCACUGGGGCCUGUGUCUGACUUCUACACAUUCCUAGUGGGGAUCUGCACUGUGGCUGUCACUGAGAGCCAGUUCCUCAUCAAUGGGAAACCUUUGUAUUUUCACGGCUUCAACAAACACGAGGAUGCAGAUGUACAUUGGCACUCCUAGGUCCUCAUGGGGUCUGCUUCUGGUCACCUUUCACUUUCGCCUUCCCUGUGUCCCACAGUUGAGGGCAAUGAGGCAAAUGGCUCCAAACUGCCUUGUGGUGGAGCUGGUGCUUGGGCUGGAGAGGGGGCUCGUGGGGUGGCUCUCCAGGGUCCUAGUUCUUGGAGGAAGUGCAACUUUGACAGGGAAAGGGUCACAUGGCUCUGCUGUCUCCUAGAUCUGAGGGAAGGGCUUUGAUGGGCUGCUGCUGGUGAAGGACUUCAACCUGCUUUGCUUCCUUGGUGUCAACUCCUUCUGCACCAGCUACUACCCCUACGUGGAAGAAGUGCUGCCGAUGUGCGACUGUUAUGGGACUGUGGUCAUCGAUGACUGUCCUGCCGUGGGCCUGGUGCUGCCGUGAGUUUCCACUGUGCACCUGCUCUGCCUGUGCAGCCCACGGGCCACACCGUGACCCUCUGACCCUUCCCUCCUGGCCUGCAAGCAGCUUUUCAACAACGUGUCUCUGCAUGAACACAUGCGGGUGAUGGAGGAACUGGUGCGCAGGGACAAGAACCACCCCACCAUCGUGAUGUGGCCUGUGGCUGAGUCUGCAUCCUACUUGGAAUCUGCUGGCUAGUACUUCAAGUGGCUGAGGAGUGGGCCCAGGGCACCUUCAAACUCAACCCCAAUGAUGAGGACAUUCACACAGCCAGUGAGCACCACCUGAAGGUUCACUGAGAGAACGUGGGACAGGCCCUGACCCCGACAUGCUGGCCACUGACCUCUACUACCUUGUCCUCAAAGGGGUGAGUGUGUAGCAGCCAGAGGGAGGGUGAGAAGAUGGGGUGCCCCUCAGAGGGCAGGGAAGCUCAGGAAGGGG